UUACCCAAAACCCAGAUAGAACAUGAGCUCGGCGCUACUGCCAAGUCGAAUUGGAGAUGGGUUCCGAAGAUGGAAUGUGAUUUGGAGAUGGGAGCACGCAUGGGUCUUCGACUAGAGGAAAUCUCUGAACACUUAGAAGCUUGAAAUUUGCUGUUGUGCUUCCCUGUGAGAAAUUGGUGGUUGUGACAGAAGUAUUAGCUAGAGCUUAGCCUUAGCGUGCAUUGGGUAGGCACAUACUCAAUUCAAAGACUCCGUCGUAUUCUGGGUGAGUGGUAGGUUCAAGAAGGACUAGGUGAUUAUAGUCACAACAAUGUCAAAGUCUUGAAGCUUUAUUUCAAGGGUGAGCAUCUUCUUCCAAGUGCCAGUUCUGGUUUCAUCUCGUUUGCUGCAGAACUGUAUUUAUUUUGACAGCCUUCCUCUGUAUCCUUCCUUUGAAUAAGAAGGUCGGGACUGGCUUAUUUUUGGCUAUAGUGUUUUGAAAGAAUGCAGGGGGAUCACAUGUAGUGUUUAAGUGAAAUUGACAGAGUUCCCUUAUUUUUAUCAUCAUUUUUCAUUUGAACCAAGACCUCUUAUGAAAGCAUGGCCUGGAUGAUGAUUCGUGUGAGGUCCUCUGCCAGUUUCAGGGUGUAUUAACCCAAACUUGAGACUUAAGGAUGAUAUCAGCACCCGAAGGCACGCCGGGUCAGAGCUCUAAAACAGUAUUGAUACCGUAAGGCACCACCACUGGAGCUUUGAUAAUAUUUUUGGCACCCUAAGGCACGCCGUGCUAGAGCUCAACGACAAUAUAGGCACCCUAAGGCACGUCGUGUCGGAGCAUGAUAUUGAUACCCUACGGUAUCACUGGAGGCCUGCAUCAUUUGAGAACAGCAAAGGAAAAGGUGCAGAUCGGUGAAAGUCUCACCCUCUUCUUUCUUGCUUUCUUCCUCUCCUCCGUUGCUCUCCUUCUGCUUCUUCCCGGUCUCCUGAUGCUGCUACGUUCUAUUCUUUCGUCCUCCAUUUUUUCUUUUCAUGUAGUGCUUUUAUAUUGCACCGAUCUUGAGUUUGGUUUGCAUAAAACAUAGAGUUUUAGAGUUCAACUUGGAGUGAACUACUUGGGGAACUUGUAUUUCGUGAAGACUACAACUCUUGUAUUUUGUAAUUGCUUUGUAAUCUAGAUUUUGACAAAACAAGGAGGCUGACGUCUUGUAAAAAUCCAAUAGACCAGCUUAAUGACUCUUGUGCUUUUUCCUUU